GCCAGGUGUGGUAGCUCACACCUGUAAGCCCAGCUACUUGGGAGGCUGAGGCAGGAGGAUCACCUGAGCCCAGGAAUUCGAGGCUGCAGUGAGCCGUGAUAGUACCACUGCAGUCCAGCCUGGGCAACAGUGCAAGACCCUGUCUCUA
rnacentral:SRP_RNA from 1 species